rnacentral:rRNA from 1 species
UACGGGGGGGGCAAGCGUUGUUCGGAAUUACUGGGCGUAAAGGGCUCGUAGGCGGCCAACUAAGUCAGACGUGAAAUCCCUCGGCUUAACCGGGGAACUGCGUCUGAUACUGGAUGGCUUGAGGUUGGGAGAGGGAUGCGGAAUUCCAGGUGUAGCGGUGAAAUGCGUAGAUAUCUGGAGGAACACCGGUGGCGAAGGCGGGUCUCUGGACAGUUCCUGACGCUGAGGCACGAAGGCCAGGGGAGCAAACGGG